AGACCGAGUCAAAGUCAAGAAAGGGGCUGAGAGAGACUAUUUUCGAACUUUCUAUUACAUAAAUUCCCCAGGGACUCCCCUUCUAAUAAAGCUAAUAGGGCCAGAGCUCUUCCUACAAGUCCGGUACUAGGCUAAAUCAACCCCGUCUGUCGCUAUCGGUGUCGAUUCCCUCCUUGGACUAGGCUAUUCCAUAGGGAUUAGUUUUCCCGACUACUAGAUGAUAUUGAGACAAAGAAAGAAAACUGAGCACAAAGACACGAAUCUUAUCUUAGCUGCAUAUCUGGUCUUGGGAGUCAAGAAAAAAGAAAUAAGGGCACGGCUUAAACCAGCUGUAAACUAUUAUUUCAAAUUGGGGGUCAGCAAGAAAAUGGAUUCAGAAACAUAUGUUCGUGCUCGUGCUGAGUUUGACCUUGGAGAGCUCCCUAAGGCUCUACUAGACUAAUAAGGGGAGGUAACCUCGCGGAUAGCAGCGGGAGAGGAGUGAAGAACUAGCGCGUAAGCAGUUGCGGUAUAGGGCCAACGACGGGCAAGGCUUUACUAGACUAAUAAGGGGAGGUAACCUCGCGGAUAGCAGCGGGGGAGGAGUGAAGAACUAGCGCGUAAGCAGUUGCGGUAUAGGGCCAACGACGGGAGACAGGAUAGAGGCUAGCUUAGACGAGACUGGUUAUGUAAUAGGGCGCUAGCUUAGACAGGGAUGGAUAGGGUCAAAUUCAACCCUGCCGGAGUGCAGUUCCCCAUCCAGCACUUAACCGACGAAAGAGAGGGGAACGCAGCCCCCGCCGCCAUAUGAGUCGGAGACUAUUAUAGUUUUUGACUCUUGUGGGAAAUUCAAGAUGUCUUUUUUUGUUUUGGCGAUAAUCACUUCUGGGAGGGUGAAUCCCAGGUUCCACCACAAGAAAGAAGGACAAUUGGUAGUUCCCUACGAGGAAGUGCUGCCCAAAAGGGACUACUCUACAUCGGCCGGGAUUGGACACUAGUCCUUCAAGUCUUCAAAGAUCGGAUUCAAUCGAUUAUUCGCAUUCAACUUGAACAAUUCUUGUGACAACAGACGGAAUUCCUUCGUUCCCUUUCUCAAAGGCAAUAGGAAGAUAUCGAUUUCGAACAAAAAGGCAAUCUCGAGUACAAGCCAAGGAGAAAGACUGCCAUCUCAGGCAUACCAUCGACAGAGUCAGGAAAGGACAGGCAGAAGGCGCGCUAAUCAAAUCCUCUCUUUCAACUCUAUCCCUUCUUGGUCCCAGCUCCCUAUGAGCUCAGAGUCGCUAACGCUAAGAGGAAGAAGAGCAACUUCCAUCAUUCCCAUAGUAACAAGGGAAACCGAACCCAAGUGAAGUUAAGCCGAGUCCUUUUCUUCCCCACUGCUUCGAAGCCGGAGGCAGACACGUGGGGUUCACUGGAAGGAAGAGUGGCGGGAAUUCUUUUUUGCAAUGUAAUGGAACUCAAAGCCUCUUUCAUAGGCUGUACUCGUACUCACCGACUACACGGACUCUAUACCAAGUCAUGAGCGAUAGCGAAGCCAAGCCGCCAACCCUAUCCCUUCCCGAUGAAGCUUCCUUUGAUUUGAAUGAAUGAGGAAGGAAGGCGCAUGCAAGAGAAAAGAAAGCCCCUAUUUGGGCAUGAGCUCUAGUACAUUGACCUCUCGCAGACCUGAAAGUCAAGUUUUUGGCUAUUGAAAAAUCAAAUAAUAGAGACGAAGAAAGCCAUAUAGAUUCUCAAUAAGGGAGGAACUCGACCUCGGCCAGCCGGCCAGGAAUGAUGACCAAUUGCUUGAACCUCGGAUGAGGACAUGGAGGAAGAUGGGCCGGAAAUGGGAAAUGCCCUACCUUUGAGUGCUGUUUGAACUAUUGAUUUACGUAAUUGGAAAUAACCACUAGGUUUACGAUGAAACCUAGAAUCGAUCACUGAUCCAAUUUGAGUACCUCUGCAGGAUAGACCUCAACAGAAAACGGAAGAGUAACGGCAGCAAGUGAUUGAGUUCAGUAGUUCCUCAUAUAAAAUUAUUGACUCUAGAGAUAUAGUAAUAUGGAGAAGACAAAAUUG
rnacentral:lncRNA from 1 species